UCCCUCUCCCUCUCCCUCUCCCUCUCCUUCUUCUUCUUCUUCUUCUUCUUUUUUGGUUUUUGGUUUUUGGCUUUUUCAAGACAGGGUUUCUCUGUAUAGCCCUGGCUGUCCUGGAACUCACUCUGUAGACCAGGCUGGCCUUGAAUUCAGAAAUCCGCCUGCCUCUGCCUCCCAAGUGCUGGGAUUAAAGGCAUGCGCCACCACCACCCAGCUUCUGAUAGUAUUUCUUAAAGAUGUGUUUUUUAUCAGGGGGCUCUGAUGGCCCUCAGCACCUCGUCUGCUCUCCCCACCCCAAUGCUACCCAGAGAAGGAGAGAGAAGAAGCUGCCCAUUGGAGGAAGCCCCUGAAGGAGGCCCUUCCCUGGCCUCGGGGCCUGGAACAACAGGGGAAAAUCAGAUCAAUGAAGGUUUGAUUGAUGACCACAGGAUGGAGAAGCCAGAGGGGACCACACAGUGCCCAGACACUCCCAGGGGAAGGUGUUCACCUCCAGUCUGUUUUUCUGUUGUCAGGGGCACACUCAGGUGUUUUCUGCUUUGCAGAUAUUGUCUGCCCCUGGCCUUAAAAAAUAAAAAAAUAUGUGUAUUUAUUAUUUUUAAUUCUCUCUCUUUCGUGUGUGUGUGUGUGUGUGUGUGUGUGUGUGUGUGUGUGUGCGGAUGCUCAAGAGCUACAGGUGGUUGUGAGCCACCUAAUGUGUGUGCUGGGAAUGGAACUUGGGUCUUUGGACAGAACAGCAAGUUCUUUUAAACAGAGUCUUCUUGCCAGCCCAAAAUAACCUUCUUAGCAUGAGUGGUUCCAGUCCCAGCCUCUGGUCCUAUUUCUCUUUUAUCCUGUCCACCAGGAAGCUGCAUGCCAACGUCACAUUCACUUCCUCCCUUCGUUGACAUUUGUACAGGAAAUGCUGCUUGCAUUUGUGACUCCUCCCUUCCCCCUCUUUCUUGCAGAGGAACUCAGGGCCUUCCACAGGCUGGGCCAGGGCUCUGUCAGCUUUGUCAUAGCUACCGUAAGUCUUCUGGGGGUGAGACAGUCUUGGGAACACUCUCACUUGUUUUUUUCUGAGACGAGGUCUAAGUAGACCAGGCUGGCCUCACAGACAUCCAUCUGUCCUGCCUUCUGAGUGUUAGAUUAAAGGUGUGUGUCACCACACCCUGCCUGAUAGAUUGCCUUAGAAGUCAUGUGUGUUAUGUAGGUAUGUAUGUGUGCAAGGACUGAGGUUUCAGACAGUGGCUUCUAAAUCAUUACAGCCUGGCCCAAAUUCAUCUUUAACCAAAAUAGAAACCAUCAAAACCAACAUGUUUUUGCCAGCAAGAGCUAUGUUUUACCCUAUAUACAGUACAAGGAUCCCUGCUUUGGACCUGUUUCUCCUGGACUCUGGAGACCGUCAUCCGCACCCUGAUGGGGGUGGACGCGUUUCCUAACAAUAAGCUGUUGAGAUGUUUCGGGGAGUUGUUUGUUGACAGGUCAGGUGAGGUUGGUUCUGAAAGGUGGCUUGUACAAUGUGCAGAUAAACAUUGUCACGGGGUCCUGGGUUCUUCCUGUUGGUCAAUGCUGGCUGUGGACACUGGUCUCGUGGGUUUGCUGAGGUGUGCAAACACAAGUUUGACUCAGAGCUGCCUGCAACUCCAGUUCCAGUGGAUUCAGCGCCCUCUUCUGCCCUCCUCAGGCUUCUGCAACCACAUGUGUGCAUGAAUGCAUGCCUGAAAACUCAGCCCCAGUGUACUUAAAAUUGUAU
rnacentral:lncRNA from 1 species